GUGGGGAAUAUUGGACAAUGGGCGAAAGCCUGAUCCAGCAAUGCCGCGUGAGUGAAGAAGGCCUUAGGAUUGUAAAGCUCUUUUACCCGGGAUGAUAAUGACAGUACCGGGAGAAUAAGCUCCGGCUAACUCCGUGCCAGCAGCCGCGGUAAUACGGAGGGAGCUAGCGUUGUUCGGAAUCACUGGGCGUAAAGCGCACGUAGGCGGCUUUGUAAGUUAGAGGUGAAAGCCCGGGGCUCAACUCCGGAACUGCCUUUAAGACUGCAUCGCUUGAAUCUGGGAGAGGUAAGUGGAAUUCCGAGUGUAGAGGUGAAAUUCGUAGAUAUUCGGAAGAACACCAGUGGCGAAGGCGGCUUACUGGACCAGAAUUGACGCUGAGGUGCGAAAGCGUGGGGAGCAAACAGGAUUAGAAACCCUAGUAGUCC
rnacentral:rRNA from 1 species